rnacentral:tRNA from 1 species
ACCUUCGUGGUUUAGUGGUCAGCACACUCGACGCGUAUUCGAGAGGUCCAUGGUUCGAGUCCCAGCGAGGGCA